GUGAGGAAUAUUGCGCAAUGGGCGAAAGCCUGACGCAGCAACGCCGCGUGAAGGAUGAAGGUGCUCUGCAUUGUAAACUUCUGUAGGGAGGGAAGAAAACCCACUCCGUGGGCUUGACGGUACCUCCAAAGUAAGCACCGGCUAAUUCCGUGCCAGCAGCCGCGGUAAUACGGAAGGUGCAAGCGUUGUCCGGAUUGACUGGGUGUAAAGGGCGCGUAGGCGGAGAAGUGUGUCGGGAGUGAAAUCGUGCGGCUUAACCGUAUCAAUUGCUUUCGAAACUACUUCCCUUGAGUGCAAGAGGGGCAGACGGAAUUCCUGGUGUAGCGGUGGAAUGCGUAGAUAUCAGGAAGAACACCGGAGGCGAAGGCGGUCUGCUGGCUUGUAACUGACGCUGAGGCGCGAAAGUGCGGGGAGCAAACAGGAUUAGAAACCCCAGUAGUCC
rnacentral:rRNA from 1 species